rnacentral:rRNA from 1 species
CCAUGCACCGAAGCUGCGGCAGCGACGCUGAUGCGUUGUUGGGUAGGGGAGCGUUCUGUAAGCCUGUGAAGGUGUGCUGUGAGGCAUGCUGGAGGUAUCAGAAGUGCGAAUGCUGACAUAAGUAACGAUAAAGCGGGUGAAAAGCCCGCUCGCCGGAAGACCAAGGGUUCCUGUCCAACGUUAAUCGGGGCAGGGUGAGUCGACCCCUAAGGCGAGGCCGAAAGGCGUAGUCGAUGGGAAACAGGUUAAUAUUCCUGUACUUGGUGUUACUGCGAAGGGGGGACGGAGAAGGCUAUGUUGGCCGGGCGACGGUUGUCCCGGUUUAAGCGUGUAGGCUGGUUUUCCAGGCAAAUCCGGAAAACUAAGGCUGAGGCGUGAUGACGAGGCACUACGGUGCUGAAGCAACAAAUGCCCUGCUUCCAGGAAAAGCCUCUAAGCAUCAGGUAACAUCAAAUCGUACCCCAAACCGACACAGGUGGUCAGGUAGAGAAUACCAAGGCGCUUGAGAGAACUCGGGUGAAGGAACUAGGCAAAAUGGUGCCGUAACUUCGGGAGAAGGCACGCUGAUAUGUAGGUGAAGUCCCUCGCGGAUGGAGCUGAAAUCAGUCGAAGAUACCAGCUGGCUGCAACUGUUUAUUAAAAACACAGCACUGUGCAAACACGAAAGUGGACGUAUACGGUGUGACGCCUGCCCGGUGCCGGAAGGUUAAUUGAUGGGGUCAGCGCAAGCGAAGCUCUUGAUCGAAGCCCCGGUAAACGGCGGCCGUAACUAUAACGGUCCUAAGGUAGCGAAAUUCCUUGUCGGGUAAGUUCCGACCUGCACGAAUGGCGUAAUGAUGGCCAGGCUGUCUCCACCCGAGACUCAGUGAAAUUGAACUCGCUGUGAAGAUGCAGUGUACCCGCGGCAAGACGGAAAGACCCCGUGAACCUUUACUAUAGCUUGACACUGAACAUUGAGCCUUGAUGUGUAGGAUAGGUGGGAGGCUUUGAAGUGUGGACGCCAGUCUGCAUGGAGCCGACCUUGAAAUACCACCCUUUAAUGUUUGAUGUUCUAACGUUGACCCGUAAUCCGGGUUGCGGACAGUGUCUGGUGGGUAGUUUGACUGGGGCGGUCUCCUCCUAAAGAGUAACGGAGGAGCACGAAGGUUGGCUAAUCCUGGUCGGACAUCAGGAGGUUAGUGCAAUGGCAUAAGCCAGCUUGACUGCGAGCGUGACGGCGCGAGCAGGUGCGAAAGCAGGUCAUAGUGAUCCGGUGGUUCUGAAUGGAAGGGCCAUCGCUCAACGGAUAAAAGGUACUCCGGGGAUAACAGGCUGAUACCGCCCAAGAGUUCAUAUCGACGGCGGUGUUUGGCACCUCGAUGUCGGCUCAUCACAUCCUGGGGCUGAAGUAGGUCCCAAGGGUAUGGCUGUUCGCCAUUUAAAGUGGUACGCGAGCUGGGUUUAGAACGUCGUGAGACAGUUCGGUCCCUAUCUGCCGUGGGCGCUGGAGAACUGAGGGGGGCUGCUCCUAGUACGAGAGGACCGGAGUGGACGCAUCACUGGUGUUCGGGUUGUCAUGCCAAUGGCACUGCCCGGUAGCUAAAUGCGGAAGAGAUAAGUGCUGAAAGCAUCUAAGCACGAAACUUGCCCCGAGAUGAGUUCUCCCUGACUCCUUGAGAGUCCUGAAGGAACGUUGAAG